ensembl:processed_transcript Dleu2 deleted in lymphocytic leukemia, 2
AACGAAUUUGAAUGAGGAGUCUCAGCGCUUUCGGCGCCAUUUUCGAGUGAUGCCUGAUCUCAUCAAUCUAGCGGGAGGGAAGGGAUAACCUGUCCGAGCGUAGCGCGACGCUAGGAUCGCGCCGGAAAACCCCCCAAAAAAUCAUCAAAAAAUUUAACUUAGACCAAAGGGCAGUCGGCGGGGCUUCGCCAGAUGCGGCGCAGUCGAUUCUAACUGUUAGAAGAGUACCAAUUCUGGAAAACAACCAAAGUUUCUUUGAAUGAAUGCCCACGUAAUGCAUUGGAAUAUAAUAAGAGAUUAAGGUUUAACAAUGUUAAAAUGAAGAUAUUACUAAAAUGGCCCUCUAAAUAGCCCAACAAUUAUUAUUUUGUAAGUAUUAGUUUUUAGCUCCUUCCUUCAUCAGUUACCCACCACCACUGCUACGAAGACUUGUGUUUGGUAUCUUAUUUCCAUAUAUCUGAUAAUUUUUCUAUUUAUUCUUGAAUAACUUAAAUUGCCCAUUAACUCUAUUCGUGUUUGGUAUUAAUUUAGAACAAGAAUGAUUUCAUUGCCUCAGGAAACUUUACUAGUGUGGAAAGUAUUUUAUAGAAAGACCCUGUUAUCUCCAAGUCUGAAAUCACAAUAUUAAAUCCUUUCUUUAAAGUUUACAAAUAAGCAAGUUUUUUUUUAAGGCUUAUACAUUUCUUUAUUUGUGUGUUUAACUGUGUGUAUAUAUGUGUAUGGUCCUGAUAUACAAGAGAGAUGGAGACUGAAGUCAUCCUUGACAACUGAGUGAAAUUCUGGACAGCCCUGCUUAUAUGAUCCCUUGUAUGGACAGGAGGCAGUUGGGGGACGGUAAAAUUUAAACAGUUAUACCAGGGUCUGAAUUUUGGUGGGGUGUAUAUUCAUUUUCUUUCUCUGAGACAGCUUAUCUGCCUGGCCUUGAAUCUGUAUAGUAAUCCAUCUGCCUCCAUCUCUAGAGUGCCAAAAUUAUAGGCAUGGUCUACUCACAACACUUAGCCACCCACCUGGUUUGGGUAGGAAUUUAAAUUUGUAAAUAUAACAAUCUGAUACAAUGAUUUUUCACUUUUAAGCAUAAUAUCCUCAGAACAUUUAGUGUGAAUUAUUGUUGUCAUCUUCUGUUCUGAAAUUUGAGCUUUUUAAAAUAUGUAUGAGUGUUCUGCCUUUGUGUAUGUCUGUGCAGUGCGUGCUGGAGGAAGUGCUAAGGCUCCAUGUGGGUGCUGAGAAUUGAACCUGGGUCUUUUACAACAACAAAAUGCUCUUAACCACUGAGCUAGUAACUCUGCAGCCCUGAAACUUGAAUUUCAAAAUGUUCCAUGUAAAAAAUGAGCAAAUUGAAAUGCAUAUUCAUUUCUCAAUGAUCACCACACCUGGCUUGGCCUAAACUAUCAGUUUAGUAUUCCUUUAAUAGCCAGUAAAUAAAUUUGGGGUAUGUUGUUGUUGUUGUUGUUGUUGUUGUUGCUAGAACAAUUUCUUUUUCAAAUAUGUUACAUAAGCUCAUUUUCUUAGAGAAAAAUCACAUGGAAAUGGAAUUUUUAAGUAUUUAGUAGUAUGUACUACAAAUGAUUCUGUCAUUUUUCACAGAUCAAAUUUUAGAACUAGGAAUUUAAAAUGUUUAGAGAAGAAACAAUUCCAAAGAUUUUAUAGUGACAUUAUUGCCACAUCAAAGAUAAUAUUAGCAUACCCAGCUUUUAACUUCCCAAAUUUUGUUGCAAUAUUUCAUAACUUUAGCUUUGCUAUUUAAGUAGAUUCUUUGUGCCCUGGGAUUUGUUGCCCUGUCAUCAGAACUUAAUCCUGGUAGUGUUUUCUCCGUGUUCUUAGACAAUUUCAUAAGAUGAUGGCUAUCAUUCAGAAGCGUCCUUCAAAGGCUUAUAUGUAUGUUAAUGGUUCAUUUGCAGAUAAGGAACCAAAAAGGGUCAGUGUACUAAAAUAACAGCUAUGGGAGACACUCAAAGGAGAGAGUGUCAGGGUUCUGACCUCAGAUUCUGUAUUCCGUCAUUGUUCUCCAAUAAAUUACUGGUUGCUUACUAUUAAAUUCAAAAAGUGUCCCAUUAUUCUGAUGCAGUCAAGAUGAUGAUAUAGCUUGGGCAACAUGCCUAUAAAUGUUUAUGAAGUACUAAGCUUUAUGGAAACAAGAUGAAUUAAUAUUAGAAGUUUUAUAAGGUAAAAAGUAAAUGUUUCUAAAGAAAAAUAUUAAUGGAAAAAAAUAGAGUUGAAGGGGGAAAUAGGACAAUUUGGUUUGAUCUAUCUUAAAUUGUAAAAUUCUGUUUUUUAUACAAAAAAUAUUAAUUUCAGGUAUUUAAAGAUUGCCAUGUAUUCUAUGUACACUUAAGUUACCUUCUUAAGCAAAACAUUUAGUUUACUUUUCAGAAUGGCUUUUUUUUUUUUUUUACUUUUAAGAACAUUAGUAAAAAGUUGAACUAUGUAAAAACCCAACCAAAAAAAAUUAUUUUGGUCCUUAGGCCAGAAUAUAAACCACUGAAUUUGGAACGGGGCAUGAUGGUGCACGCCUUUAAUCCUAGCAUGCAGGAGGGAAACCAGGCAGAUCUCUGAGUUCCCGUCCAGCCUGGUCUACAGAGUGAAUUGAAGGACAGUAACCACUGUCCUCAAAACCUCUCUCAAAAAACGACUGAAUUUGAAAUUACAACCAUUGUAUAAAAAUAAAGGACAAAUCACUUUUAGCAGCUUUUAUCUUUAAUUAUUUUCAGACUUUUUUUUUUUUAAGCUGGCACACUUGAAAGCAAGGGUUUGAAGAUUUAAAGAUAUUUUGAUAUUUCAAGUGACCUAAGAUGAACAGGAAUGGAGAGAUGGCGUUGGCCAUACUAGAAAAUGAUUGUUGCAUAGUCAUUUAGUUUGAAUGGAAAAUCUGGUAUGAACUGGAAUAAUAAAAACAGUUCUUUGUCAAGGGAUGGGCUAAGUCCCCCACUAAACAGAAAAGAGUCUUUUUAAUAGUGUAAGAAAACCUAGAUAUUCACACACAAAAAAAAUGAAGUUGGACCAUAUUAUGUAGUAAAAAUUUUGUUUCAGAUAAGUCAAAGUCCUAUUGUAUAAAAUGAUAUUCCUUUAAAGGAAUAGCCUUUUUAAUUGAGAAACAUACAAAUGGUUACUUAGGCUUGACCUACAGGAUUUCUGAUAUAUCCUUUUAGGAAACCAAAUUGACUUGUUAUCCUAAGAUGAUGUUCAGGGUAAUAUAUAAUAAAUGACACUGAACUCAUUAAUAAUAUUUCAAUAUUGAGAUAACACUUGAGUGUUCAUUUGUAGAUUGGGGGUUAUAUUUUGGGGAAUAUAUUUCAUGUGUUUGUCUUCUAAAUAUUUUGCUAGUAUAAAUUUCUUGAAACUGAGCUCUUACAUGUUUUGUUUGUCCUUUAACAUAAAGCAUUAUCCUAUGAAUUUGGCUUUGAAAGGUGUGCUGCUCUUAAUAAGGUAAAAACCAACUUUUAUAACUACUUCAUGUGUUAAGCACAUUCAAAAGUUGUUAGUUUAAUAAAUCAGGUUCUUAUUAAGUUGGCACGGA